rnacentral:tRNA from 1 species
AGCAGCAUGGCGCAGUGGUAGCGCGCGGGGCUCAUAGCGUUUCACGCCUAAUGUCACUCCGAGGUCACUCGAUCGAAACGAGUUGCUGCUA